GAGAUUUAUCCUGGCUCAGGAUGAACGCUGGCGGCGUGCUUAACACAUGCAAGUCGAACGAUGACUUUUGUGCUUGCACAAAAUGAUUAGUGGCGAACGGGUGAGUAACACGUGAGUAACCUGCCCUUAACUUCGGGAUAAGCCUGGGAAACCGGGUCUAAUACCGGAUACGACGGACCACCGCAUGGCGGUCCGUGGAAAGCUUGAUGCGGUUUUGGAUGGACUCGCGGCCUAUCAGCUAGUUGGUUGGGGUAAUGGCCCACCAAGGCGACGACGGGUAGCCGGCCUGAGAGGGUGACCGGCCACACUGGGACUGAGACACGGCCCAGACUCCUACGGGAGGCAGCAGUGGGGAAUAUUGCACAAUGGGCGAAAGCCUGAUGCAGCGACGCCGCGUGAGGGACGAAGGCCUUCGGGUUGUAAACCUCUUUCAGCAGGGAAGAAGCGAAAGUGACGGUACCUGCAGAAGAAGCGCCGGCUAACUACGUGCCACC
rnacentral:rRNA from 1 species